ACGUAGGGGGCGAGCGUUGUCCGGAAUCACUGGGCGUAAAGCGCGCGCGGGUGGUUUAGUAGGUAGUGAGAGAAAGACAUGGGCUCAACCCGUGCAGGUCGGUCGAUACCGCGGGACUGGAGUAUGGGAGAGGAAAGCGGAAUUCCCGGUGUAGCGGUGAAAUGCGUAGAUAGCGGGAGGAACGCCGGUGGCGAAGGCGGCUUUCUGGCCCAUCACUGACUCUGAGGCGCGAAAGCCGGGGGGGCGAACGG
rnacentral:rRNA from 1 species